UCCCCUCAGUGGUGGUCAAGGGUGAGGGUGGGUCAGGGAGGGCUCCCAGGAGGCUUCCAAGCCUGGAGCCUCUUCCCAGCCUGGAGAAGUGCCCUGGGUGGCUCCCAGCACCACUGACCACCUGGUUUGAUGCAGAGACUGCACGGGACAGUGCUGCAAGCGUGACUUGGCUUGUUCGUAGGUUCUCCCUUCCUCUAUUCUGCUGGUGGCUAUGUGACCUUGAGCAAGUUACUCAACUUCGUGAAGAAGGAACUUCUAAGAAUACUUCCCUGCAGGCUGAGGUGGGGCGCACAUGGGCGCUGAGGGUGAGAAGGACCUGCAGGCUCUCGGGACAUAGCCUUCUCCAUCCUCCUUGAAUGGCGCUGACUCCGGUUUGCAGGACCCUUUCCUGUGCCCUGAGCCUACGGCGGAUCUGCCAUCUGCCAGAUGCUGGACCCUCUUGUGCACGUCAUCACGUCCUCAGGCCUCCGCGGUGCCCAUCUUUCCAUCUCAUGGCCCAGGCCUCUGCGGUGCCUAGCUCCAUCUCGUGGCUCAGGCCUCCAUGGCGCCCGUCUCUCCAACUUGUGGCCCUGGAUGCUGGUGGUGCCCACCUGGCAGUGUGCCCAGCCCAUGGGGAGCUCAGCAAACCCUUGCCGCCAUGCAGUGGGUUCCCACUGGGUCCUGUGAUCGGAUGAGUAAAUGAGAGCCUGCAGCAGCCCUGCCACUCUUGCCUUUUCUUUUUGGGUCAUUGAGGUGGCAGCCCAUGUGUUGAUUCUGCAGGUGUAGACACAGCUCUUGAAUAAUCACAUGGAAUCGCUUUACCCAGAGAGGCCCAGACACCUGUGGGAGGCCAGCCCAGCUUCCCACCAGAGGCCACUCAGUGUUGUUCAUGUGCCCUCAGUUUGGGUGCCCUUCCAGCAUCUGGCCCGCAGGAAGGGGAAUUCUAAGUGCAUGCCAGUCACCCUGGUCUGCACUUACUGGUAUCACUCUGAUUUGUUGCAUGGAGUGGGGAGGAGCCAAAGACAGCAUUGGAACGGAGGACGGGCCAAGCCUCCACACUGGUGGCCUUUUUCCUGCAUGUGAGGCAGGUUCCCUCUCCGUUUUCCUCUCCCCAGAAGCUCUCAAGGGCAGGACUCCUCUGCUCAGCUCACGGUAGCAGCUCUGAUGCUGGAACAGGGCCUGAGUGGAUGGAUGGAUGAUUCCCCAAUGCGGGUCUCCAAAGCCCACCAUGUUCCAUUGAGAGCAGGACCAGCCUGGAUGGACGAUGUUGGCUGUGGGGUGCACGGAGAGCAGAGACCGCCCCAAAGGGAGAGGGAGGGCAGAGCCAGGACCAGCCUAGAUGGGCGAUGUUGGCCACAGGAUGCACGGAGGGCAGAGGCUGCCCCAAAGGGAGAGGGACCAGCCUAGAUGAGCUCACCCACAGUGGGAGGGUGGUGUCUGAUGGGGGUGGGUGGAAAUGGCCUGGCUUGGCAUCCAUGCAGCAAAACCCACAGCCCAGGAACCACAGAGGGGAAGGGACAGGUGUCCAGUGUCCACUGGGAUGGCAGGAGUGGGGCUGGGGUACCGGGCAGGGAGGUCCACAGAACUCCAUGUGGGGCUUCAUUCUCAGUCCCUAGGCCCCUUUGGUGCCCACCCCUGCUGGCCCCCUGACUGCAUGCAGCUCAGUGAGGAAGGCAGGGUGUGUGGUGCUAGAACAGGCCCCAGGUACCCACAGAACACGCCUCAGAGAGGCUGCAGGCCUGCCCACAGCCACACCGCCAGACAGCUGGCCCUCCACUCUAACUUCUGACCCCACUAUGCCCUCCUCCCCACACGGGCCUAUGUCUUGGAUUUCUUUAAUGGAGAAGAAAAUUCCCCUCGGAUACAAGAGCCUCAACAUUUUAAGGAUUUUCUGCAUCUCAGAAUCGUAGGCUCCUUGCUGGGCAAGGUGAGCCUCUGCAAGUCCUCACAGGACCAAGCAAAUCUGAUUCACCCCAGAAAAUCCAAUAUCCAAGCUGAGCUUUGGCCUGGGUGGGUUCCAUUUCUUCCCUAGAUCCUAUUUAGGAUGUGUAUCCUAGGUGCUAACAUGCAACGUUCUGAGGGGUUAUUGCUCAAAAACAAGAUUUUCCAUGUGGUCAAGACUCUGCGAGCCUCGAACACAAUGAAUCCACUCGAGUGGGCUUGGGCUUUGCCUGGGUGCCGCACGCUCACACGUUGGAAGCCCAGCUUUGAUGAUAUCCACACACGCACAGGCACACACGCCACAGGUGAUGCCGGCUCAUUCUCAGGAGGUGUUUGUCUAAGCUCUGCUUUAAAUAUUUACCCCCUAAUUGUACAAAUGAUAGGGGCCUGAACCUGGUACUAGAUAAAUGGGGACUUCCUUAAAAGGACACCUGCUAUCUUUGACAUUUUCCGACAAAGCUUCUACUGUUGAAGAGCGAUUGCACCUAGAAAAGCCUCUUCCUGGCGGUCACAGCAAGGUGAACUUUCAGGACACAGCCACAGACAGGGAGAAGGCCUCUGAGAAGUCCAGCCGCCAGCCCCAGAACACGAGCAUGCAGCCAGCAGAACGGUCCCUCAGGGCAGUGCUGACCUGUGCUGCAAGGAAAAGGGAAUUUUCCACCUUCACAGAUCUGUUUUCCUGUCUUUGUUCUUUCUUCCCUGGGAACCUCCAACUCUGUUCUUGUUUCUCAAGAUGGCCUUAGGGGAAGCAGCACGAGGGCAUGGCCUCUGUGUUAACAGAGGCCACCUGCACAGAAGACACCAUUGUCCCUAGAGCCCUAGAGACCGGGCCAGAGCCUUCCGGGGGCCCCAGGCCAGUGGUUGUGCCACUGAGUGUUUAGCAACCAGCUCUCCAGAGGAAAAAGGGCCUGGUUUUUACCUUGUGCCAAUUUCUGUAGUGUAAACAGUCCCACCACGACAGGUUUCAAGCCACCCACGUGAACUCACUUAGCGUGGAGUUGGAAAGAGACACCCGUGAUCCAUUCCUGCAGGCGGGGGGAGCUGGCACCAGCACACCACGGCAGGCUGUGGGUUUGGAAACUCGAGGACUGCGUGCCGCUUUUGAAAAGAAAUCCUUACUUCUCCCAGGAGGAGAAGAGGCGUGCCCAUCUGCCCGAGAGCUGCUGAGAUCCAGGUGCACGUGGACCUUUCCCGGAAGGAUGGUUCUGGAUGACGAUAGCUGUGGGUGCCCCCACUCAUGAGCCGAGGGACACUGGACACUCUGCUCAGCCUCUAGCCUCAGCCUGCUCAUCUGUCAGAGGGGAUAAGAUGACCCAUUUCAGGGUGCCUGGAAGAUUCACUGAAAUAACCCGCCAGAAGUGGUCAGAGGAGAGAGGGAUCAGGCGCUUGCACAGGGGCGUCGUGUCUGCACUGUGCGGCUGUAAGCUCUCUCCGCACACCGCGUCUUUCUCCUUUUCUCCCGCAUGUGCAUGUGGAUGUGAAUUCGUGAGAGUCCCAGUCUGAGUGGGAGAGGCCGGGGAUGAGAUCAGGUGGUACAAGGGGCUUGUCCUUGAGGCAGGAGGAGAAGCAGCUGGGGCUCAGUCAAGGCAUCGGUGCCAGAAAGGGCUCCAGGUGUGACCGUUCACCCUCAGCCUCUCCAGUGCCGGAAAGGGCUCCAGGUGUGACGGUUCACCCUCAGCCUCUUCAGUGCCGGAAAGGGCUCCAGGUGUGACGGUUCACCCUCAGCCUCUUCAGUGCCGGAAAGGGCUCCAGGUGUGAUGGUUCACCCUCAGCCUCUCCAGUGCCGGAAAGGGCUCCAGGUGUGACGGUUCACCCUCAGCCUCUUCAGUGCCGGAAAGGGCUCCAGGUGUGACGGUUCACCCUCAGCCUCUCCAGUGCCGGAAAGGGCUCCAGGUGUGACCGUUCACCCUCAGCCUCUUCAGUGCCGGAAAGGGCUCCAGGUGUGAUGGUUCACCCUCAGCCUCUUCAGUGCGGGAAAGGGCUCCAUGUGUGAUGGUUCACCCUCAGCCUCUCCAGUGCCGGAAAGGGCUCCAGGUAUGACUGUUCACUCCCAGCCUCUCCAGUGCCGGAAAGGGCUCCAGGUAUGACUGUUCACUCUCAGCCUCUCCAGGACAGGGUCUGUGGGAGGAUUGCACAAGGAAAUGGGCCGGGUCAGUAACACCCACCAUGAGGCACUCAGCCUCCUGGAAUCGGGGGGCCGGAGACACAAAAAGCAGCAUUUGGGUGGCACCUGCUCCCCACUCCCUGGUGCCCGUGGGUGCUUCCAUAAAAUGAGCCUGCCGUGGAGCACAGGGUCUGGCAUCCACCCAUCCCUCAGGCCCAGGUUCCUCCUCUUUGGGUUCAAGCCAGAGGCACAGGCUGGUGCCCACAGGACUGGGUCAGGAUUGGGCUUGACCAGCUCUGGCAGCCCUGCCUCAGUGGCCACCAGCCAAGGUGACCUCCCUCCUUCCUUGUGGUGACCCUAUCCAUCCGAGGGGCCUCGUCCCUCCCUGACACCAACUUGGACCAGGGCCCCCAAGCUCUUCGGAGUUCAUCCCCCAACUCCAAAAGUCGGAAGGCAAACUGCGUCACUGUUUUCCGUCCUGCCCCUCCCUGUACUCACAUCCUGUGCUGCGUGGGCCACUCAGGGACCCCAGGAGGCAGACACCAAGACAGGAGGAUGUGGGGUGGGGUCAUGAAGGUGCCGUGUGUCCUGGGGCUGCUGGAAGGAACCUGCACACUGGGCAGCUUCAGGCCACUGAGAUUCGCUCUCUCCCACGCUCAUUCGGUUUCCCUGCUGGUGGAGGCAAUGUGGGAAGAGACAGUUUCCUCCCAGGGUCCUGGCCUCUGCUUCCAGCCCCAUGAGGGGCAAUGCUGGGCAAUGCUGUAGACGUGGCCUCACUUAGCGGGGUGCAUCGCAUCUGGUAACUGCCGCCAUCAUGCACAGGGCUUGUGACUGCCAGGUCUUGGAUGCAUCACCCCAUGAAGGGCUGAGCUCAUGGGAUGCUUGCUCAGGGAACCCCCCAAAGACGUCUGAGGAAUGGGAUGUGGGUCUGAGGGGGCCAGCCUGGACUGUGCAGGUCUGUGCGGGUGGGACCAGACUUCACAUCCAACGUGAAUGCUUUGGGGUGUGCAGGCAGCUAAGAGCCUUCCUGAAGCUCCCGGGGAGUUAAGAGAGAUUGCCGUGGGAACUGGAGCCCUUGGCCCAGUUGUCUCCCUUUAGCUGGAAAACAGCGUGGUCCCCAUUAAAAUGGAGAUGGUGCAUUUCACAGCCAGGGCCUUUGGGAGGCCACAGUCAUAGAAAGUAGGCCUGUGGGUCUCAUUCCAAAUCCUUUCUUGUGGCAUCUUUCUGUGAAGUAAAAAGAAGUCACUGGGGAGUGUUUUCCCUCCUUCUCACCAUUUUCAAUUCCGACUUGAUUCUAAGGGACACAGAUGGGUGGGCCAGAAGAGCCAGGUGGCUUCCUGGUGGCCCGGCCAGGUCUGUGCUACCUGCCUCUCCUGCCUUCUUAUGGAGGUCAUUGUAUUCCUGAGGAGGGAGGUGGCACCUGUCACCUGCAGAGAUGCCCCCUCCUCCCACCCACACCCUCACUUCCUCCCAUCUUCCCAAAUCCAGCCCGAGUCAGCAUCUCCCAGAAACUGCUCAGAAGAAUUAGAGAUGGGUGCUGUUGGGAAUUAGAUAGUGACCGCAAUGUAUAUCUGCACCCAAAACCUCGUAACGACCUUAGACCCCAAGGUCUUUCUUGGAAAUAGGUUCUUUACAGAUAUAAUUAGUUAAGGAUCUUGAGAGGAGAUCAUCUUCUGGUUAGGUGGGUCCUAAAUUCAAUGCCUGCUACCCUCAUAAGAAGAGGAGAGCACGCAGAGACACAGGGGAAGAGCACCCUGUGUAGAGGCGGAGAUGGACCUGAUGCAGCCACACGCCAAGGAACGCCUGGAGCUGCCAGAAGCUGGAAGAGGCAGAAGAACCCUCCGCAGAGCCUGAGGAAGGAGCCUGAAGUUUGCACGUCACCUUCAGAAUUGUGAGAGAAGAAAUGUCUGUGUUUUAAGCCCCCGCCCUCUGUUAGUGAUCAUUGCUAUGGCAGCCAGGACCCUUAUGCAAUUGGGGUCCAGGAGUGAGGCAGCCGGGCAUUGCUGCUUAAAUGUGGGUGCACCCAGCAGAGUGCUCACGGCCGUGGGGUGAAGAGGCUGGCAUUGCAGAGCAGAAAGGCUCACAAGGGAGCCCUGACUGGGACACCAACUGGACUUGGAAAUAAACACGAAAGAGAGGAGUGAAAGGCAACAUUGAGGCUAACAAGGAGGAUCAAGGAUGUGGAAAAUCCACGGUGGAGGCACUCCACAAGUGUAAUCCGAGGAGAAAGUGGAGGAGGAGGAGGUGUCAGCUGGGGGCAGAGAAUGAGGGCAGUGUGGAGCUCAGCCAUGCUCUUCAGCACACAGCAGUGUAGCAUCCUGCCUGAGGGUCGGAUUGGUGGAUUCCUGCCUGGGUUCCGUUGCUCGAUGCUGUGUGACUUCAAACAAAUCACCCAACCUCUCUGUGCCGCAUGUGUAUCAUCUGUGAAUAGGAACAAUAGCUGUUUUUUAUGCUGCUUGUGAGGAGUAAAUAAAAGGACAGCUGGUAAGGAGCUUAGAACACUUCCUGGCAGAUGGAAAGUAUCCAAAGAUUUCAUCUGUUAAUGUUAAGAGAACAGAAACAAAAGUCAAAGACAUAAUCAAAGAAAAUUCCCCAGGCUGCAGAAAGGCAGUGCAGGCAGCGUUGGUCAGUGCACCACUGUGGGGGAAGAAAACCCCGGCAUGUGUGGAAUGACAAAGCGUAAAAACAAAUGUGUGUGUGUGUGCACUGCACAACACCACAGAGCUACUGUAAGCCAAGUUCUAUGCAUUACUGACUUGGAGUGACCACGUAAUGUGCUGUUAAUGGAAUGCAACAAGUUGUGGGAGAAACAGCACAAUCCUGUUCAUAAACAUCUUGGUGGUGCUCAUGGCUCCUGCUGGACAGGUGUCGGGAGGCUCCCUGCAGGUGUUCCCUGUGAAGGGGUGAGUAAGGCAUGGAGCCACUGUGAACAGCACCUUAUGGCUCAGAAUCGCCUCAUUUGAUGCAUAGAAGGUGGCAGGUCAGGUGCUUGUCCCUCUACUCACCUGCAGGGGAGACUGAGUCCCUUCAACUCAGUGCUGGCUGGGAGGUGGGCAGGGGCCCCAGGUCCCUUCUCUGCCUCCUGCACACUGUGCCUUGUGCCUGAUUCUUUCCUUAGGCUCCUGAGGAGACUCAGCAUUCCUGGGUGCAGCUUUGGGGCAUCUGGGGCUCAGAGCUGUCCUUGUAACCAGGCAACACUGACAACUUUUAAACUGGUUUGAUUACCCAGAAAAAAACCAAAUGCCCCAUCUGAUUCCAUCUCUCCUAUCUUUGGCAGGAAGCAUCUGCCGUUGCCAGGCAAAGGCCAGAGACAGCCUGGCUUUUCACGCCCUGUACGCAAGCCCGAGCCGCUAGCUUGUGUGACUGCGUGUGGCCGAGGCCCUGGCCCUGUGCCCCUGGGUGAGGCUGCGGUCGGGAUAACAUCUCUCUCCCCAGGCUGUGAAAUCCCAACUCCCGGCCUCACUGCAGCUCUUCCAUCAGAGGUCCCUAGAGGAAGUGUGUUCCCUGAAGUAUGCGUUUCCUACCGACCUUUCCAACCCGCUGUGGCCUCUCCUUGCGUUUUAGGCAGGGCUGUGACUUGCUGGUUGGAGGAAGCGUGAGUCAGGGCCCAGAGGGACCUCUGGGGAUUAUCCUGUCCAAAGCCUCUCACCAAAGCCUUUCACAGCAUCUUCUUUUUACUUAGCACCAGAACCUCGUGUGUGUGUGCAUGUGUGUGUGUUCACCUGCAUAUGUGUGUGUGUGUGUGCACAUGCAUGCCUCUUCCCCAGAUGAGACCCUGUGCAGAAGAACCCUGGCAUAUAAAGCAGAUCAAAGAGGGGUUGGGCUGGCAACUCAGGGAGGGGCUCCCAGGACUUCACCCACCUAGGCCCGCAGCUCCCUCCUCUGUCCCUGCCCUGGAGACACUUCUGGGAGGCUACUUGGGAAUCCCUUGUCUAGUUCCAUUGUCUGGUUUCACAGAUGGGGAAACUGGCCCCAGACAGGAAAGUGCAAUGCACUCAAGCUUGAGGUGAAGCUGGGUGGCCCAGGUGUCCAGGUGUGUCCUGGUGGGUGGGGUGGCAUGGGGUUCUUUCUGUGGAACAAGAGCUGGCCCUGCCAGGAAGAACUCUUCCCCAGGACAGGCCUCCUUCCAGGAGGGAGUCAUGGCAUGACUGUGUGUGGAGAGCAGUGCUCCUUUUUCUCUUUGGUCUCGAGCACAGGGGAGACCCCCGGAAAAGUGGUCUGGCAUGAAUCCAGGGAUCAGGAGCAGAGAGUGCAUGCUGGCUGAGCAGCCUUCCAUCUAUGGAGGAGUGACACAUUUCCCUCACUCUGCUUCUUCAUCUCAGGGUCAGGCCCGGGUGCCUCGGGAUCUGGAAGCUGGCACUGUGUUCUGGCCCCAGUGCCUUAGCACAUGCUGUGCUCAGCCUGGAGCAUUCUUCCCCUGUCUCACCUGGGACGCUCACCUGUGUCUUUCCCGCCCUGGCUCAAUUCUCCCUGCUCUGCAAAAUGUUGGCCAGGUCUCCCCACACCUUCCCAGGCUUCCCCAGGCAGCACCAGGUCACAUCAUGUGCUGCAAUAUGAUCUCAUCUCCCCAGCACUUCUUGAACCAUCUACUGCCUUACGUUAAGUCUUUGUGUACCUAGGAGUUACUCGAAGUAUCUGGGGUGCAGAAGAAUUGAUUGUUGCUUCUACAUACUAUAGAUCAUUUUUAAACACUGAAAAUGGUUUUGUGGGAGACCUGGGUGGGGCCGGGCAAGGCAUGUGAGGUGGUCCACAUCCUCAGCAGCUUCAGGACCCAGGCAAGUCCCUGCCUCUUGCCCAGAUACCGAACGAUCAUGAAUGUGGGAUUGCAGGAACCCUGGGUGUGAGCUUUAAGGAGCCUGGCAAAGAGGAGGACGGUAGAACAGUCUUUGCUCUGGUCCUGCUUGCUCCUGCUCUCUCUGCCCUCAGGGAGUUGCUGUCAGCUUCUUGAAUUAGCCAUGAGUUCUCUCCUCCCAGACUCUGCACACAGCUUCUCUCUCUCUAAAACAUAUCCUUUUCUUCCCCCACAAUCCAGCCCGAUCCCACUCAUCUUUCAGUGUCUGACUGAGUCAUUCCUUCUUCCAGGAAGCUGUCCCUGAGCCCCUCUGGGUGCACCCUACCCCUUCCCUGUGUGUGGUGCCACAAACCUGGUGUACUGUGGGUGCUGCGGGGCUGUCUCUGCUGCCCUCUGUGUGCAGAGUCCGCUGGGUGAAGCUCUUCGUGGUUUCUAGCUCACCUUUGGGGAGGUUCACAGUCAUGAUGGAAGGAAUUAGUCAAUUGGUUCACUGCCUCAUUCUUCCAUUUAGCCGUGUGGCCAGUCAGUGACCUGGGCAGCAGUCCCUGAGUUGCUCAGCUCAGGGUGGAGAAGCAGCCUGGGGAGCAGAGACGGGCUUGAUUCUGUAGUCAGCUGCCUGGGCUCCAAUCCCACACCUGCUCCUGUUAGCCAGGUGAUCCCAGGGAAGUCACUUCACACCUCUGACCUCAGUUUCCCCAAAUAUGAAAUGUAGUUGCUUCAUAGAAUUGCUAUGGGCAUGACAAGUGUUAAUCAAAAGUGUAAUUUUAGAACUGAACCAAGCUCAGUAAUAUGGAAGUAUUAGCUAUGAUUAAUUCGAUUGUUUUCUAAAAUGAGUACAAAGUGUGGUACAGAAAGGUCAACUGAUUUUCCCAGAGUCACAAUCAAAAGAUGUGUUUUUAUUCAUGUGAUGGUUUUAAAACAGUCUCAAACUUCUUUGAAACUUCUACUAUGGAGAAGUGGGUCCAAAUUUCCUCCUAUUGAGUGUGGGCCCUGUGACUGCUUGAUCAAUAAAACAUGGUGGGUGCUGUGGCAGCUUGGCCCAGAUUGUGGAAACAGCAGCUUCCGUUUCCUGUCUCUGGGGGCACUUGCUCUGGAACCCAGCUGCCAUGUUGGAAGGGAGCCCAAGCAGCCCAUGCAGAGCUUCCGAGUGGAGCGGAAAUGAGGCCCCAGCCCUCAGCCCUGGCUGGUGCCGCUGCACCCGCUGGCCUGCCCCGUGCCUGGGCUCCUUUGGAAGGGGUCCUGCAGUCUCCAGUCAAGCCACUCAUCUGAUGCUGUGUGGAACAGGAGUGUCUGCACCUGCCAAGCUCUACCUACAUGAUAAACAAAAGAGAUGCUGUGACUGUCAAGCCUUUGGCUUCCAGGCUGGCUGUUAUGUGGCAGUAGUCACUGGAGCACAGCUGCCUUACACAUCAUGUGAGAAUCAUUAUGAAUCCCAAAUAGACAAAUUGAGUCUCACAGCCUCUCCCCCUUCCUCUUAUUUACCAGCCGUGCUCACCCCUAAACCAUCCUUCCUCUGUGGACCCAUGCUGUGGUGCCCGAUGACAGCCCUUCGCCCACCUCUGGUCUCGCCUGGAGCCGUGUGCAGGCUUGUGCACCAUGAGGCCCCUUUUCUGUCCCGUGUUAGGAUCCACCCUGGGCUGCAUCAGCACAGUGGGUCAGAAAGGAGCCCCGGGGUGGGGGCUGACAUCAGGCCUGCCCUCCACCAAGGGCAGCAAGCAGGCGGGCUUCUCUUCCUGACCCCACAGGCCAGCAUGAGACCCCGGAAAUAGCAGGUGCUCUAUAAAUAUGUGGCCAGAUGGACUGAAUGAGUGACUGAAUGGAAACCUCCAGAUUGGCGAGACCGCUCACCUGGGUCUUACUCCACCAAAAGCCCUGGCUCUGCCUGAAGUGACCACACAGCUCCUGACCCGGAGCUGAGGCCCGAGGCCAACAGGUCAGAGGAAGGGGAAGUGGGGAUCCUCAGGCAGGGAGGAGGGUGGCUUCUCCCCUAGCUUGCCCGGAGUGACCCUCUCACGCUGCCCCUACCCUGACUGGCCACCAGGCCGCAGCUCCCCUUCCUGCCUCCCCUCCCAACAAGCCCUUCCCCUGCAUCCCUAGGUCAGAACUUCUUGGCCUCAUAUGGAAUCUUGUCCCUGAGGGUCUCCUAAAUGGCCCUGGUGGCCUGGGGAAGCCCCUCCUGUCCACUCCCCACUCUGCUGAGACCUACCUUCUGUCCACAACUCUGAGCCUCCCAUACUUGCCUCUUUACCUCCUCACCCGCUCUGCCUCCCUCCCCAGGGGCUCCACACCCCCAUCCUUCCACACUCUGUACUCUCUCACCCCGGCGGUUUGCAUAUGCUGUCCUUCUGCCUGUAACACUUUUCCCUGCCCAACCUGGAAAAUGCCUAUUUAUCCAGCAAGAGCGACUCAGGCAUCCCCUUCAGAACUCUCUAAACAGGUGAGGCUCUGCAGGAACACCCAUAGCCCCUCGUGCAGUCAUUCAUUCAUUCAACAAAUACCUACCAAGAACUACUGAGUGCCAAGUUGUUUCUUAGGCCCUGGAGAGUUGGGGGCUGUACAAAGCCUGCCCUCUUGUAGCUAUUAACAGCGAACCACCCUGCCCAGCUGUGUCAGGCGCCUUUCCACACACUGCUUUUCCUGGAUCGCCGGCCCCUUCCAUCUCCAGGAUCUUUCCUCCUCAGACUGAGAGGCACUUGGGCAAGGCCCUUCCUGAUCCCCUCACCAAGGCCACACCUUGGGGCUGCCUUUUGAAAGGCAGAUGUUCAGAUUCUGCCUGGGGAGCCUGUGGUCUGGGCUGAGCCCACGGGACUCUGGUGCAGGUGGUGGGAGAGGGAGAGGGGGUGGGCAUCUGGAGAAGCCCCUCCUGGGCACAGUGGUUCCUGCCCUGCCCCAGCAAGCUGGGCACUCCAGGAUCCUGCAUGGGAUCCUGGUUCCCCUGUCCACCCUCCGCCCACCUCAACAGACUCUGCCUCCAAGUGUGCGGGACCCCACCUCGUGCGUUCUCCUUAGACCUGGGCCCCUGUCCCUCCCGGCCCACGUUGUGUGUUCUCCUUAGACCGGAGCCCCUGUCCCUCCCAGCAGGUGCCCCUGUGUGUUGGUUGCAGGAAUGGAGGAUGCAUGAGGUUAGAGAGGUUUUCAGAACAUGUAGCCUUCUGUGAUGACACUAACUUGAUUUCUGUCUUUCACUACGAGGUUGCCCCAGGAUUUUCCUGCCUCUAGUCUUCCCCUUUUGAAAGAAUCCUCAAAAGUACAUGUGUUAAAGCCUUCUCGAAGCUCCCACAUGAUCUUGAGCAUCAGAUGAACAUGAAUGGUGGUCAGAUCCACAAUGGAACUGGCCUACCUCCUCCAUGGAACCCUUGCCUCUGCAAAGAAGCCAGAGCCCACCUGCCUGCACAAUGGAGCCUGCCUGCCUGCACCAUGGACCCCACCUGCAAGACUCGGCUUCUGGCCUCUCUCCUCUUGACUCUAGGCUCUGGACUUGGGGGACACCCUGAGCCUACUAACAUCAGGGUACAGGGACAAAUCUCAGUGGACCUGACCAGGUUUCUACUGAGAAAGAAAUGUGGAGAUGGACGAGGUCAGCUUAUCUUUGCAGAAGGCUGUAUGGGGCCACCAAACCCUCCUCGAAGGUCUCAAAUUCCAGCUGUUAGUUGUGGCGCCCUGCAGCUGAGCUGGGAUGGCAUUGAUGUCCCACCAGGCUGCAGCAGCAAAGGAAGGGGCAUUGCCACUACUUCAUGCUCGGCUGACCUGGCUCUGCUUACCUGGCCUCUUGCUUGUGUUUUUAUUUUUCCUUUUUGUUUUAAUUUUAAUUUUAAUUUUUUUUUUUUUUUUUUUUUUGAGAUGGAGUCUUGCUCUGUGGCCCAGGCUGGAGUGAG